rnacentral:rRNA from 1 species
AAUGAACGCUGGCGGCAUGGAUUAGGCAUGCAAGUCGAACGGGGCGCCCUCGGGCGCCUAGUGGCGAAAGGGUGAGUAACACGUGAGCAACCUGCCCCCGAGUCCGGAAUAAGCGGUGGAAACGCCGUCUAAUGCCGGAUGCGGACCCUGGCCUCCUGGCCUUGGCUCCAAAGAUUCAUCGCUCGGGGAUGGGCUCGCGGCCCAUUAGCUAGUUGGCGGGGUAACGGCCCACCAAGGCUCUGACGGGUAGGUGGUCUGAGAGGAUGGUCACCCACACUGGGACUGAGACACUGCCCAGACUCCUACGGGAGGCUGCAGUCGAGAAUCUUCCGCAAUGGGCGCAAGCCUGACGGAGCGAUGCCGCGUGAGGGAAGAAUGCCUUCGGGUUGUAAACCUCUGUCACCCGGGACGAACGAAUUGACGGUACCGGGGAGGAAGUCACGGCUAACUACGUG